UUGAAAAGACAAUAGCAAUGUGUGUCCAAGAAGAGGACAGACUCAAAGCCUCACAUGGUGGUACACUCAACUAUGUGCAGGGUCACAAGAGAAAGAAUUACAAUCAAAACAACAAAAGUUCUCCUUCAAAGCCACAAGGAAAAGCUUCCUAUCAGCAUCAGCGUCAGCAACAACCUUUCUCAGUGGACAAAGACACUUGUCUCCACUGUAAGAAGACCGGGCAUUACAAGAAAGACUGUCCUGAUUGGCUAAAGUCAAUCAUGGCAAAAAGAGGGAUUCCAUUCGACGCGGACUACGCUAAGAAGCGAAAGACGCAUUGAAGUGGCGAACAGAGUUGAAGCAGAAGUUGAAGCUGUCGGUGAUAUCUCCUUGGAGUUAGCUGAUGGAUUCAAUCUUCUACUUAGAGAUGUUUUAUUUGUUCCAUCAUGUCAUAGAAACUUAAUAAGUGUUUCUUGUUUGGACAAAGAUAAUUAUGAAUGUUAUUUUGGACAUGGCAAGUGUACCAUUUGGUUAAAUAAUGCUUAUGUGGGUGAUGCUUUACUACAUGAUGAGCUUUAUUUGUUAUCACUUCGUGAAAAAGUUUAUUCCGUUUGCAAUGUGAAAGAACAUGUUUCCGCGUCGAAUAAAGAACAAAA